UUCAGGAUUCACUUUUGUGUGCUCAGCCUUGGAUAGCCACAAGGAGGCGACCAUGGAACCAAGGUUUCCAGCCACCUGCAAGCCCCUCAGUCUUUUCUCAGAAAAGCACGGUGGCGGUGGCAGAAGAUGGCACGGCUGUCACCAGCUGUCCCCGUACAACAGGAGGAAGUUGGAUUUGUCCCGGCGUGUGGCAGACAGGACAGUAUUCAUCUGGUGGAUCCCCUGGCACAUGGACAAGUCUGGUGAGGGUCAUCACCUUGAAGAGACUGGUCUCUCUUACUGACAUGUAACAACAGAACAAGCAGCUUGUGCUCUGUACGGUCUGAGGUCCUUUGUACCCCACAGUCUAAAGUUCUCUGUACCCCACAGUCUAAUGUCCUCUGCACCCACAGUCCAAUGUCCACCUGUACCCCAAAGUCUAUGCAACCUUUUCCAUCUCACCGACUGAUUCAACAAACACUGAG
rnacentral:lncRNA from 1 species